GGAGCGAGGAGGCGCGGGCGGGGGGACCCCAAACAUCAUAGACUAAUGUGUGCCUCACCAGGCUCCUCCGAGGAGUCUCUAGUAACCCACUGGCGCUCUCCACAUAGCCAGGCCGGUUCCUUUGGUCUUAAAGGCUGAGUGGAAAGAUCAGCGGGUGGGGACUUCAGGGCUGGGUCUGGAGGGGUAGCGGCCUUGGCAGCUGCCUCUGAGUGGGAAAGCGGAGAGCAGAGAGGAAAGCCUUCCUCAUCUCAGUACUCCCAGGCCAGAGCCCAAGGUUCAAGUGCCUCAAGGCCCACUCCCCUCGACUUCUGAUUGGGAAUUGAAUUUUAUACCACGGAUUUUAUAGCAUUUUUUAUAUAACUCAAAAUUGUCUGAGCUGGAAAGACCUUGGAGAUCAACCAGUACCUGCCCCCACCCCUUUCACAGAUAUGUAAGAUGGAGUCCAGGAACUGAAAUUAUCACACACCAGGCAGGAGCAAUUCUAGGACUAGAAUAAAAACCUCAACUCCCAGUUCAGUGUUCUUUGCACUACACCAUAUGGCCUCCCCAUCUCUGAUCCAGGAGUGCUCUGCCACUUUUGCUGCUCUGCCUGUUCAAAAACAGUAGGCAGACUGGGGCAACUAUCAGUCAUCCACACCCUCUGCCGAAGUUCAGGUAAGCCAGGGCAGAGAGCAGGGUGAGGAUGGUUUUUGCUCUUAAUAGGCAGGGAGAGGCCUUCGGAGGGCAAGAGUGGAUGACUUCAUUGAGAAGCAGCCCCAAACACUCCACUGGUUCUCAAAAGUGUGGCCAACAGAAAUUAGGAAGUUAGUAGAAAUGCAAAUUCUUGGGUGGCACCUUAUGGAUCAGAAACUGGCAUGGAGCCUAGCAAUCUGUUUUGAUAAGCCCUCCAAUGAUCACAAGGCACGCUAAAGAUCUGAGCACCAGUGAACUACAGUGGCAUUGUAGUUAUUACUACUUUGCAGCUAUUAUAGCCUCUUGAAUCAACAGUCAGGAGAUUAGGUGGUUCUCAUCUCUAGGUGCCUCCUCCUUGCCUUGGGAGUCUGAUAUGAACAGGUGAAGUUUCUUCAUGAAUUUUUUUGUUAAUGGUAUGCUUGCUAUUAUGGCCAAUAUGUAAAUGUUACUCUGAAUACAUAUUUAUAUACCAUGUUAGUGACAUUAUUUGAACAUUUGUAUGCAUAUUUGUGAAGUUGUUUGCAUCAGUUACUUUUUAAAAAUUUCAGCCUAAGUUUUCUAAGAGGUAUGUUGAAUAAAUUUAAAAAAAUUAGCUUAAGGGUCAUGGCAACCUUAGUUUUGUGAAAGAGCAAAUCCAAGAUAAGUUCUUUCAGCAAAGACCUGAUGGAAAAGUUCCCAUUUUCCAUGGUGACUGAGUCUUAUUGUAAGUACAUCGUGACUGUGGGAGUUACAGGCUGCUUCAUGUUGCAGGUGGGGGAACCCUCCUAGGUUGCUGUGAACUGGGACAACAGACCCCCUGGCCCCUUCCACUCAUCAUCUUUCUCCUACAGUCACCUCUUAGAGGGUCUCUUAUUUUCUUUCAGAAACCAAAUGCACAGCUUUGCUCUACUAUGGAAAUUCUGCAAUCUUGGAAAUCAUUACUAGUAUCAACUAUUAGUCACUUUUUAAAGCCUCGAAAGUGGAGUGGGGAUGGGGGCCAGUGGAAGCCUCGUCUGGUUCUUACUUUACCCAAACUGUGUAUAAAGAAUAAAGUUAGCAGAAUGACACCA